UACGUAGGGGGCUAGCGUUGUCCGGAAUCAUUGGGCGUAAAGCGUGCGUAGGCGGCCAGAUAAGUCCGGUGUGAAAGUCGCAGGCUCAACCUGUGAAUGCCGCUGGAAACUGUCUGGCUAGAGUCCGGAAGGGGCGAGUGGAAUUCCUGGUGUAGCGGUGAAAUGCGCAGAUAUCAGGAGGAACACCAAUGGCGAAGGCAGCUCGCUGGGACGGUACUGACGCUGAGGCGCGAAAGCGUGGGGAGCGAACAGG
rnacentral:rRNA from 1 species